rnacentral:rRNA from 1 species
GACAGCAGCAGCCGCGGGAAUACGUAGGUCCCGAGCGUUGUCCGGAUUUAUUGGGCGUAAAGCGAGCGCAGGCGGUUAGAAAAGUCUGAAGUGAAAGGCAGUGGCUCAACCAUUGUAGGCUUUGGAAACUGUUUAACUUGAGUGCAAGAGGGGAGAGUGGAAUUCCAUGUGUAGCGGUGAAAUGCGUGGAUAUAUGGAGGAACACCGGUGGCGAAAGCGGCUCUCUGGCUUGUAACUGACGCUGAGGCUCGAAAGCGUGGGGCGCAAACAGGAUUAGAUACCCCAGUAGUCCCUGUCUCUUAUACA